CUGUGAAGGCUGAACGAUGGACCUUAAAUUACCUGAACGUUGUGAAAAGUUUAUUUAAUUUAACGCAGAACCGUGGCCAAAACCUCAGAGCCCGUCCCUUCAAUGACUUCGGCAAUGAAACGAAUUAUGGUGGAACCCACACCUGCACGUCUGUAGGCGGUCAAGACAUGCAAGUUGCUCAGGCUGCCAUGGGGAGAUCUAUGGAGGAAGUGGAGCAACAAUAUAAGAGGAGCGCAACUUAAAUAACCCUAACCGUGGCUCACCUGAGGCACCAGCCAUGCAGUUUUCCAGUCUCAAAGAAGCCGGCACUAAAAUUGUUCUUAAUAAACCCUGUUAUCAGUGCCA